GCAUUGAUGGGGUAAAGGUAACCUGGGUCAUUGUUAUAGUCAGUAGAGUUUAACUUGACCUGCUGGGGGUUCAAUUCCCUCUCAAUGCA
rnacentral:tRNA from 1 species